CCAGUUUCUCACCCAUCACAUGAUGUGUUUUUGCAGCUGAGUUCUGGAUAUUUUGUCCAGAAGGACACUGUGAGACACAGUAUUAAAAAAUUUUCUGAAAUCCAAAAUAAUCAUAUCAACUGGGUUCCCUUUAUCAAUUAGAUACUCCCAUAUUUUAUAUUUCUGCUGGCAUAAUUGCUGUUGCAAGCAAGGGAUAAAACCAGCACCAGAGUUGCAGGAAAUGCCUGUAUGGAUAUUCUGCCUGGAGGAAGCAAUAGGGCAGUGCUACAUCUCCAAAACACCUAGCCUCCAAUAAUGACUUGAAAAUUAACCUAAUAACCACACCUGGUAGAAAUUGAACAAAGG